rnacentral:rRNA from 1 species
AUGGGGAAACCCAGUGUGUUUCGACACACUAUCAUUAACUGAAUCCAUAGGUUAAUGAGGCGAACCGGGGGAACUGAAACAUCUAAGUACCCCGAGGAAAAGAAAUCAACCGAGAUUCCCCCAGUAGCGGCGAGCGAACGGGGAGGAGCCCAGAGCCUGAAUCAGUGUGUGUGUUAGUGGAAGCGUCUGGAAAGGCGCGCGAUACAGGGUGACAGCCCCGUACACAAAAAUGCACAUAUUGUGAGCUCGAUGAGUAGGGCGGGACACGUGGUAUCCUGUCUGAAUAUGGGGGGACCAUCCUCCAAGGCUAAAUACUCCUGACUGACCGAUAGUGAACCAGUACCGUGAGGGAAAGGCGAAAAGAACCCCGGCGAGGGGAGUGAAAAAGAACCUGAAACCGUGUACGUACAAGCAGUGGGAGCCUCUUAAUGGGGUGACUGCGUACCUUUUGUAUAAUGGGUCAGCGACUUAUAUUCUGUAGCAAGGUUAACCGAAUAGGGGAGCCGAAGGGAAACCGAGUCUUAACUGGGCGUUAAGUUGCAGGGUAUAGACCCGAAACCCGGUGAUCUAGCCAUGGGCAGGUUGAAGGUUGGGUAACACUAACUGGAGGACCGAACCGACUAAUGUUGAAAAAUUAGCGGAUGACUUGUGGCUGGGGGUGAAAGGCCAAUCAAACCGGGAGAUAGCUGGUUCUCCCCGAAAGCUAUUUAGG